rnacentral:rRNA from 1 species
AAAAACAUCGCCUUUAGCCCCAACAAGUAUUAAAGGUCCCGCCUGCCCAGUGAAACACCUUCAACGGCCGCGGUAUCCUAACCGUGCAAAGGUAGCGCAAUCACUUGUCCCUUAAAUGAGGACUAGUAUGAACGGCUAACUGAGGGUACACCUGUCUCCUGAGGCCAAUCAAUGAAACUGAACUUCCAGUACAAAAGCUGGAAUAUACACACAAGACGAGAAGACCCUGUGGAGCUUUAACCUCCGCCACUACCCGACGCCCCGCCCCACAAUUGUGGGGCCACACCACAUCAAUAAUAGUGGCUACUUUAAGUUGGGGCGACUGUGGGGUAAAACUAAACCCCCAUGAAACAAGACUAACCCUCCUCAAAGGCCAACAUGCCAACAAGCCCCCCACCCGACCCAGACUAAACUGAACAACGAACCAAGUUACCCCAGGGAUAACAGCGCCAUCCCCCUUAAGAGUCCAUAUCGCCAGUGGGGUUUACGACCUCGAUGUUGGAUCAGGACACCCCAGUGGUGCAGCCGCUACUAAAGGUCCGUUUGUUCAACGGUUAAUGUCCUACGUGAUCUGAG